rnacentral:rRNA from 1 species
GACGAACGCUGGCGGCGUGCUUAACACAUGCAAGUCGAACGAUGAAGAAGAGAAACGCGAACUUCGGUUCAAAUUUCACUUCGGAUUAGUGGCAGACGGGUGAGUAACGCGUGAGCAACCUACCUCUUACAAAGGGAUAGCCUCGGGAAACCGUGAUUAAUACCAUAUGACACAUUCGUAAGGCAUCUUAAGAAUGUUAAAGCUACGGCGGUAAGAGAUGGGCUCGCGUCCCAUUAGCUAGUUGGUGAGGUAACGGCCCACCAAGGCGACGAUGGGUAACCGGCCUGAGAGGGUGAACGGUCACAUUGGAACUGAGACACGGUCCAAACUCCUACGGGAGGCAGCAGUGGGGAAUAUUGCACAAUGGAGGGAACUCUGAUGCAGCGACGCCGCGUGAGCGAUGAAGGAAUUCGUUUCGUAAAGCUCUGUUCUAUGGGAAGAAAAGGACUGUACCAUAGGAGAAAGCCCCGGCUAAAUACGUG